GGGAGCAGGAGUGCCUGUGUGAGCGGGCUCUGGUGGGAAGGGCACAGGGCAGAGCUGUGCCAGCAGCGAGCCGUGCUGUCACCUCCCCUGCCCGGGGCUGCCUGUGUCAGUGUGAGCUGUGCAGAGCUGCUGCCUGCUGAGUACUGCUGUGUGUGUGGGUUAUAAUGAGGAACAUAAGAACUGUGGUGUCUCCUGCUCUGAAGCGUUUCUCAGGACUGUUUCCACGAACUGCUUUGACCCUUACACUCUGUUGAAUGCUAACAGCUUUUCCUGUUCUGCAAUCUGUGCCGAGAGAAAAGAGCUCUGAAAUGCCAAGUGCUGUGCCUGCACGUGAAUUUGGGAGCCCUCAGAUUCACAAGACCUGGCUCAGCAAAGAAGGUGGCCCAAAUGCGACAAGAAAUGUCACGUAUUUAAGAAUCCGUUCACUUAUUUUUCUGUAGAGUUUAAAUUAGCGGCUGGUCCUUCAAAAGCCUGAUAAAUGCCUGCCUACCUGUAAGGUACUGACUGUAGACCAACAGGUUACUGAGAUCAAGCCUGAUAGCAAGCAUCACCAUUUCUGUCUGCACUAUAGAAACGCCAAGUCUCCAAUCAUGGAUUUGACAAUAAAAGAUCUGGCACACCCAGCCGGGACAGAUAAGCAGGAUCCCUGAUGCAUUUGAACCAGCCAUCAGUGAAGAAAAGGCAGAACUAAAGCGCUCACUUAACAGCCCAUCCAGAUGAAAGGGAAGUCUGGCUUGCCUGAUGGCACUGCUUUCACUUCUCCACAGAAAGAAGCCCCUUGGGUAAAACGCCUGGUUUGUACUACACUAAUUGGGGAAAUUUGAUAGCCAUUUGAUGGCCAUGCAUUUGAUAGUCCAUCUCUGUGGCUGUGGAUUUUGCUGUGAAAACAACACAAAUCCUGGAAAGCCAAGGGGUUGGAGAAAAAGGAGAACAAACAAGGUCCCCAGUAGCUGCUUGGUUUAUAAAGAACAGAUUUUACACCCACAGAAAGGAAAACUUUGUUCAGAAUAGUGCUAUCACAGGAUUUUCCUAGGGGUGCUUCAGCUGUACAAAUGAGGUAUUAGCUGCCUUCCCAGCUGCUGGCUGUGUUCAAACAUCGCAUUGGUUCGCAUUUACACCUCUUUCAUAGAAAUGAUGCCGUGCACCUGGAAACAAGAUUGCUGUCACUCACAAAGUGCAUCCCUAUGGAGGUGGCCGCUGCAGUUUCGAUUUCUGUGCCGAUGUCCUCAAUAAAGGGAUAUUCGUCUUGGUCAUGGACAAUGAUCUUGGCUCCUGUUGAUGUCACCAGGAAAGGGUUGUAGUCUGCUUCGUCUAUGUACAGAACAACCUGCAAUCCUGAAGAACAGAGACAGGGCUAGGAACAGUGUUACACCAGGAGCCAGAGCCAAUUUUUUCUCGUCAGGGAGGGCAACACAGUUUACUCAACACUAUCUGGCCUUAAGUGGAAUUGUAACAAUCAAGCGAUGCCUCUGCCGUGCUAGACUGAGACACUUAGAGCAAGUGGUGUCCCUCUGCAGCCCCAAGUACAACAAACAAAUGAUGUCUCCUUAGAAGGCAGCUGAAACUUACUUUAAAAAGUUAUAUAACUGGGAAGCAGUAAUUUCAGAUGGAAAACAUUAGUGAUGCAAUGAUAUUAUCUUUGUAUUCUCUGGCAACAGUUUGCACUAGUUCAAACAGGCACUUCCCCAAUCAGACUGCACAUCUAGAGCCAACACAUCAAUCACUCUCCAGCAGGAUCCAGUUCACUGAACCGCUCGUUAUCUAAUAGUUCCUCCGCAAGCAAAGUUUCCUUACCGUACUCGCUGCCUCCGGUGGAGGUGCUCAGGAUCGUCCCAUUUUCUCCACUGUUGAAAGUAUAGCAAUUGCCAUGCAGGGGAUGAUGGAAACGAGUGAA